rnacentral:misc_RNA from 1 species
AUCACCUUUUCUGGUUCAUCAACCUUUUUGUCUGAGGCUAUUCCAUCCUGAGGCAUUGAGUUCUGCUCCCCACCAUCGCUUUUGUUCAGAAAGGAAUCCUCCAAAACAGGUGCUCUUGGCUUCUGCCGAUUAGAUGCCAUUACACCAUCAGGUAGGGUCCGGNNNNNNNUCCGCCUGGAAUGGUUACUCAAACCAGUGGCAGGGGCUAUUGAUUGAGUAACCAUUCCAGGCGGAUGUCCAAAACCAGGACUUUGACCCCAUGAUGCAUUUCCAUAAGCAACCUUUGGUUGACCUGUCAUGGACAACAGUGUCUCAUCAAACAUAACGUUCUUCGGAAGUGAUGCCGGAAGAGGGUGUCCUUCCCUGAACCGC